UCACUUCAGCAGUAUAUAUACUAAAAUUGGACUAAUACAGAGAUUAGCAUGAUCCCUACACAUAGAUAACACUCAAAUUCAUUAAGUGUUCCAUUAAAAA
rnacentral:snRNA from 1 species